rnacentral:lncRNA from 1 species
UUGGAGUAGUAUUCUAAAAAUCAGGGGCAUCCGUUGGCACCAAGGAGCUCAUGGGUUGCCAUGGUGCCGGUUCUCGGUCCAAACAUAAACGUCCUCGGGGUUUAUAGAUUGGGUCAUGUUGGAAAUCAUGCACAAUACACUGAUCAUUGUUUAUCAUCAGGUCUAUUAGGCUCAUGUAGCGGGUACUCCCAGGCAACGGUUGCUUGUGCAGCUGUUCUGUCAUUGAUGAGGUGUCGGCUGUCUCUUCUAGUGAUGAUUUGUUGGGGCUUGCUGGGUGUAGGCUUGCAAAGCCGCAGCGGUGGGCUUUGCUAUUGUAGCGCGUUCCCAUUCUGUAUGAACAUCAUUACCAUAUAGUGUGCUAAUGUUGUUCAUAAUGUUGUUGUAAGUCUACCAGCUUUGAUGUCUUUCUUAUGCUCG